GGGGUUGACCGGUUUUGACAGCAGGACAUGCAGGUCGGUAAGCACGCCGAGCUUUGUGUGGGGGCUCGUUAAUCUCAACGCUCAAACAAUUAAAUGGCAAUAAUAGCUACGCACUCGCUGCUUAAUUAACCGAGUUAAUUGGCUUAAUCCACGCGCCCAAGGCUGGUGUGAGGACGAGUACUCCGCAGUAGUGACCCGCUUCUUGUCGCCUCUGCAUACGGAGUAUCAUCAAUGAGAAGAUAGCCCGCGGGGCGUUCCGACCGCCUGGGCGAAAACUAAGGAACUGGGACUACGGUUUGGUCGCCAUUCACCGGGCCGCAGUAGGAGGAUUAAGCGAUGGAUAAGCGUGUAGAAAGCCUUCAGGCAGACUGUUUGGACGGGGGUUCGACUCCCCCCAGCUCCACAA
rnacentral:tmRNA from 1 species